UACGAGUGCCCCAAGCGUUAUCCGGAAUCAUUGGGCGUAAAGGGUGUGUAGGUUGUCUUGUUAGUCUCUUGUGAAAUUCUUCGGCUUAACCGGGGGUCCGCAGGGGAAACGGCAAGACUAGAGGAUGUGAGAGGUGAAUGGAACUCAUGGUGUAGGGGUGAAAUCCGUUGAUAUCAUGGGGAACACCAAAAGCGAAGGCAAUUCACUGGCGCAUUCCUGACACUCAAACACGAAAGCGUGGGUAGCGAAUAGG
rnacentral:rRNA from 1 species